rnacentral:rRNA from 1 species
CCUACGGGAGGCAGCAGUGAGGAAUAUUGGUCAAUGGGCGAGAGCCUGAACCAGCCAAGUCGCGUGAAGGAUGACGGCCCUACGGGUUGUAAACUUCUUUUGUCAGGGAGCCAUUGGGUCCACGCGUGGGCUUAGCGAGAGUACCUGAAGAAAAAGCAUCGGCUAACUCCGUGCCAGCAGCCGCGGUAAUACGUAGGGGGCAAGCGUUAUCCGGAUUUCCUGGGUGUAAAGGGAGCGUGGACGGCAGCACAAGUCUGGAGUGAAAUGCCGGGGCUUAACCCCGGAACUGCUUUGGAAACUGGGCAGCUAGAGUGCAGGAGAGGUAAGUGGAAUGCCUAGUGUAGCGGUGAAAUGCGUAGAUAUUAGGAGGAACACCAGUUGCGAAGGCGGCUUACUGGACUGUAACUGACGUUGAGGCUCGAAAGCGUGGGGAGCAAACAGGAUUAGAUACCCCAGUAGUC